AACGAACGCUGGCGGCAUGCCUAACACAUGCAAGUCGAACGAGACCUUCGGGUCUAGUGGCGCACGGGUGCGUAACGCGUGGGAACCUGCCCUUAGGUUCGGAAUAACUCCCCGAAAGGGGUGCUAAUACCGGAUAAUGUCUUCGGACCAAAGAUUUAUCGCCUUUGGAUGGGCCCGCGUUGGAUUAGCUAGUUGGUAGGGUAAAAGCCUACUAAGGCGACGAUCCAUAGCUGGUCUGAGAGGAUGAUCAGCCACACUGGGACUGAGACACGGCCCAGACUCCUACGCGAAGCAGCAGUGGGGAAUAUAGGACCGUGGGGGAAGGCAUGAACCAGCAAGGACGGGUGAGUGAUGAAGGCCUUAGGGUAGUAAAGCUCUUUUAACCGGGAUGAUAAUGACAGUACCGGGAGAAUAAGCUCCGGCUAACUACGUG
rnacentral:rRNA from 1 species